UACGGGGGGGGCAAGCGUUGUUCGGAAUUACUGGGCGUAAAGGGCGCGUAGGCGGCUUUGCAAGUGGCGGGUGAAAGCCCUCGGCUUAACCGAGGAACUGCCUGUCAGACUGUGAGGCUUGAGACCGGGAGAGGUGAGUGGAAUUCCUAGUGUAGAGGUGAAAUUCGUAGAUAUUAGGAAGAACACCAGUGGCGAAGGCGGCUCACUGGCCCGGUACUGACGCUGAGGCGCGAAAGCGUGGGGAGCAAACAGG
rnacentral:rRNA from 1 species